AAACCAUGCUGAAUGUACCUGGAAUGCUGCCUUUGAAAAGGCAAAUGCUGUCAUGCUCGCUUGAUGCUCGCUAGGCGAAGCAGUAGCGAACAGAUUCGCUAGCUGCUCGCUAGGCGAAGCAGCAGCGAGCGCUACGUGACAACACUUAUUUAAACUCUCAGCAGGCCACUCAAUUGGGGCCCAAACACAAUUUUCUGUUUGACAACUCUGCUGAGGCAUUUGCACGAACACUCACCUCACU
rnacentral:lncRNA from 1 species